GAUAAUUGGGCCAUAUACUGCGGGCUGAUGCUCCGGUUACUGGCUUGAGUGACCCAGCAGUGACAGAUAGGGUACUGAUCCCAACAUACGGUGACAGCCCAAUGGAUUGCCUCUUGAAAGUGCAGCUGGCCUGUCUGCAUGUCCAACUCACAGAACAAGGUCCUAAGGGUCGACUCUAUGGGCUGCUGAUAAGACGUUACAUUCCCCUGACCUUUGAGGGUGUGGGAUGUUGGGAAUCACUUCUGACUGAUUCAAAGCCUGGAGCACCUGAGGAAUCUUAAGGAUACAACCCACUGUCUAGCGCACGUGAACAACAGGAAAUACUUAUAGCUCUAAAGCUGGACUAUAAAGUCACAGAAGACGGUGAUGUGAAGAGACAGAUGGCUACAGUAAUAGCAUCAUUAUUCUGUAGCUUUGGGUGAAGUGGGUGCUGCAUAUGUUCCAUAAACUGUAAGGGGUAAAAGCCCACAUAGAUGUCUACAUAACAAAAAAGAAACACUACCAUCAGAGACUCUGAGUGACACAGGAAGAAAAUAUGCCAUGUCAGACAUCCAAAUCUAAGCAAAUCUAUUUCAUCUUUUAAAGGGAGAAGAGCUGUAGCUAUUAUUAUUAUUUUUGCAACAAAUAAUUAAUUCAGGAUACUAAAUUUGUUGAUAAGCAACAAAUAUAAUGUGUGCUUUUAAUAAUGAUGUUGCUUAAAUCAGACUCAUCUGCACUCUCUCUCAGGCUUCCUCUCCAAAAACAAUCCUGGAACAGAAAAGUGAUUUCAAACAAUUAUAAUGAUUACAAAGGAACUGUUAGCACCUGCUGCUGACUUUUGGCAGUCAUCAGUCAAUGAAGGACUCAGAAUAUUUGUUAACAACAA